rnacentral:rRNA from 1 species
AUUGAACGCUGGCGGCAUGCUUUACACAUGCAAGUCGAACGGUAACAGGCCGCAAGGUGCUGACGAGUGGCGAACGGGUGAGUAAUGCAUCGGAACGUGCCCAGUCGUGGGGGAUAACGCAGCGAAAGCUGUGCUAAUACCGCAUACGAUCUAUGGAUGAAAGCGGGGGACCGUAAGGCCUCGCGCGAUUGGAGCGGCCGAUGUCAGAUUAGGUAGUUGGUGGGGUAAAGGCUCACCAAGCCAACGAUCUGUAGCUGGUCUGAGAGGACGACCAGCCACACUGGGACUGAGACACGGCCCAGACUCCUACGGGAGGCAGCAGUGGGGAAUUUUGGACAAUGGGCGCAAGCCUGAUCCAGCAAUGCCGCGUGCAGGAAGAAGGCCUUCGGGUUGUAAACUGCUUUUGUACGGAACGAAACGGUCUGGGUUAAUACCCUGGGCUAAUGACGGUACCGUAAGAAUAAGCACCGGCUAACUACGUGCCAGCCGCCGCGGUAACAC